UCGUCUUGGGCUGUCGCCUCUCCCUCUCCCAGAAGGAAUGAAGAGGUUCUUGGAAAGCAGGGACGGGCGAUUCUCUCUGUCAGCAUCAGCUCCCACCAGCGAGGACGGGGCGAGAAAGCGAAACGGGACUUUCCUUGCUGUCUAUUUUUUCUUCGUCAGGCCAACGCCGCUUGCUUGCAGGGGCGCAGGCGAGUUCCCGCCAAAUGGCGCGGGUGCGUGAGUUGCCGCCAAAUGCUAGCUCUGGAUGCCAGCUCGUUCCGCGUCUCAUGGUAGACUAGUUGGUGCAUUUCUGUUAUCAUGGACUGCGCAUAUAAACGCAAGCUACACAAAAGUGACAUGGACAAGAACAGCGCAAGCCCUUUACAUGCAGUGGAGCCGCCGUAUCUCGCCGUUCAAGAUAUGCGUACUCGAAAAAAAAAAAAGAGGCUUUACAUGAGAACGGAUCAAGCGUUCGAGAGUUGGGACAGGGAAAUGUGAGACGUACGUAUGUAUAUAUUUCUAAUAUUAUUUUUUCGUCUUGUAUUCUCGUUAAUUUUUCUCUAGGAAACACUGGAACGACACUGCUUAAAUUGAAGCACAGUGUGCGAAUGACCUGCUACGCUCGGAACUGUUAUCACCAUUCGGGAAGAAAUUGGAUGAAAAAACAUAACUGUAAAUACCUGUAUGAUAUACGUCUGGUGCAUUGCAGGUAAGAAUGGAUUGUGUGUGGCGCGCUUCACCGCAUGUGGACUAGAGUAGAUCUAGGAACAUCAGACAAGAAGACACGUAUGUGAAACCCUGCGGAUAGCCCAUAUGUGAACUUUUUUUCCAGAUACGGAGGAACGGACACCGGUCAUGCCGUGCGCACUCUUUUGCAGGGCAUACUUACAAAUGAAGCUGCACUGCAGUUCAGCUGGAAAGGGUCGCAGGGGAGGAAGCACGCCUUCGUGAAGCUCAUGGCCAUCACGAAUAUAACAUCUGUGAGGAGCACGUUCCCUGACGCUUCACUAGCAUCAGUGGCUGGAGUCGCAAAACGCCGGUUGGUUGGAGCAGCUGACAGGGAUGGAGGCCGGAAUGAAAGAAGGCGCCGUGACCCUGCUUCAAGCCCACCAAAUAUGAACUAGUGUUUGAAACUUGUGAACGUGUCGGUGUACAUAUACAAUUACAAGAAAUAAAGACCUGUAUCAGAA